UCUAGUAUAAGCAAUCUAUACGGUGAAACUGCGAAUGGCUCAUUAAAUCAGUUAUCGUUUAUUUGAUAGUACCUUACUACUUGGAUAACCGUGGUAAUUCUAGAGCUAAUACAUGCUAAAAACCUCGACUUCGGAAGGGGUGUAUUUAUUAGAUAAAAAACCAAUGCCCUUCGGGGCUCCCUGGUGAUUCAUAAUAACUUAACGAAUCGCAUGGCCUUGUGCCGGCGAUGGUUCAUUCAAAUUUCUGCCCUAUCAACUUUCGAUGGUAGGAUAGUGGCCUACCAUGGUUUCAACGGGUAACGGGGAAUUAGGGUUCUAUUCCGGAGAGGGAGCCUGAGAAACGGCUGCCACAUCCAAGGAAGGCAGCAGGCGCGCAAAUUACCCAAUCCCGACACGGGGAGGUAGUGACAAUAAAUACUGAUACAGGGCUCUUUUGGGUCUUGUAAUUGGAAUGAGUACAAUUUAAAUCCCUUAACGAGGAACAAUUGGAGGGCAAGUCUGGUGCCAGCAGCCGCGGUAAUUCCAGCUCCAAUAGCGUAUAUUAAAGUUGUUGCAGUUAAAAAGCUCGUAGUUGAACCUUGAGCCUGGCUGGCCGGUCCGCCUCACCGCGUGCACUGGUCCGGCCGGGUUUUUCCUUCUGGGGAGCCGCAUGCCCUUCACUGGGUGUGUCGGGGAACCAGGACUUUUACUUUGAAAAAAUUAGAGUGUUCAAAGCAGGCCUAUGCUCGAAUACAUUAGCAUGGAAUAAUAGAAUAGGACGUGUGGUUCUAUUUUGUUGGUUUCUAGGACCGCCGUAAUGAUUAAUAGGGAUAGUCGGGGGCAUCAGUAUUCAAUUGUCAGAGGUGAAAUUCUUGGAUUUAUUGAAGACUAACUACUGCGAAAGCAUUUGCCAAGGAUGUUUUCAUUAAUCAGUGAACGAAAGUUAGGGGAUCGAAGACGAUCAGAUACCGUCGUAGUCUUAACCAUAAACUAUGCCGACUAGGGAUCGGG
rnacentral:rRNA from 1 species